rnacentral:rRNA from 1 species
GACGAACGCUGGCGGCGUGCUUAACACAUGCAAGUCGAACGAAGUGGCGAACGGGUGAGUAAUACUUGCGUAACCUGCCCUCCUUUUUGGGAUAAGCCUUGGAAACGGGGUCUAAUACCGAAUAAAGGGGGCUGGGCUCGCGGCCUAUCGGGUUGUUGGUGGGGGGAUGGCCUACCAAGGCGGUGACGGGUAGCCGGCCUGAGAGGGUGACCGGCAACAGUGGGACGGAGAUACGGCCCAGAGUGUUACGGGGGGCAGCAGUGUGGGAUAUUGCACAAUGGGCGAAAGACUGAUGCCGCGACGCCGCGUGGGGGAUGAAGGCUUUCGGGUUGUAAACCUCGGUCGCUAUCGAACGGGUAGGUUGAGAAGAAGCGCCGGCUAACUACGUGCCAGCAGCCGCGGUAAUAC